CCUACGGGAGGCAGCAGUGGGGAAUCUUAGACAAUGGGCGCAAGCCUGAUCUAGCCAUGCCGCGUGUGUGAUGAAGGCCUUAGGGUCGUAAAGCACUUUCGCCAGGGAUGAUAAUGACAGUACCUGGUAAAGAAACCCCGGCUAACUCCGUGCCAGCAGCCGCGGUAAUACGGAGGGGGUUAGCGUUGUUCGGAAUUACUGGGCGUAAAGCGUACGUAGGCGGAUCAGAAAGUAGGGGGUGAAAUCCCAGGGCUCAACCCUGGAACUGCCUCCUAAACUCCUGGUCUUGAGUUCGAGAGAGGUGAGUGGAAUUCCAAGUGUAGAGGUGAAAUUCGUAGAUAUUUGGAGGAACACCAGUGGCGAAGGCGGCUCACUGGCUCGAUACUGACGCUGAGGUACGAAAGUGUGGGGAGCAAACAGGAUUAGAUACCCUGGUAGUCCACACCGUAAACGAUGAAUGCCAGUCGUCGGGCAGUAUACUGUUCGGUGACACACCUAACGCAUAAGCUCCGC
rnacentral:rRNA from 1 species